rnacentral:rRNA from 1 species
GACCAACCCUUAAAGACUGCUGCAUCUUUAGGAUAUUCUAGUCCAACAUCGAGGUCACAAACUCUCUUUUCGAUGAGAACUCUCAAAGAGAAUUAUGCUGUUAUCCCUAUGGUAACUAAUUCCAUUGAUCAAAAUUUUUGGAUCAAUACUCGUCAGUUUUACUAGCUAUAAAGAAGCUUUAUUUGUUCCAUAGUCGCCCCAACCAAAAUUCUAAAAUAGAUUAAUAUCUAAAAUUAUAUAUUAUUUUCAAUUUAUUCUUUUAAAGCUCAAUAGGGUCUUCUUGUCUUUCAAUAAUAUCUAGGUUUCUUCACCUAGAAAUCAAGUUCUAGAAAAUUACAUAGAGACAGCUUUGUUCACGUCAAACCAUUCAUACUAGCCCUCAAUUAUAGGGCAAAUGAUUAUGCUACCUUUGCACGGUCAGAGUACCGCGGCCGUUAAAAUAUAUUCACUGGGCAGGUCCGACUC